rnacentral:rRNA from 1 species
AUUGAACGCUGGCGGCAGGCUUAACACAUGCAAGUCGAGCGAGCGGCGGACGGGUGAGUAAUGUCUGGGAAACUGCCUGAUGGAGGGGUAUAACUACUGGAAACGGUAGCUAAUACCGCAUACCAUCAGAUGUGCCCAGGUGGGAUUAGCUAGUAGGGGGGGUAAAGGCUCACCUAGGCGACGAUCCCUAGCUGGUCUGAGAGGAUGACCGGCCACACUGGAACUGAGACACGGUCCAGACUCCUACGUGAGGCAGCAGUGGGGAAUAUUGGACAAUGGGCGCAAGCCUGAUGCAGCCAUGCCGCGUGUAUGAAGAAGGCCUUCGGGUUGUAAAGUACUUUCAGCGAGGAGGCGUUACUCGCAGAAGAAGCACCGGCUAACUCCGUGCCAGCAGCCGCGGUAAUUC